rnacentral:rRNA from 1 species
AUUGAACGCUGGCGGCAUGCCUUACACAUGCAAGUCGAACGGUAACGGACCUUCGGGUGCCGACGAGUGGCGAACGGGUGAGUAAUGUAUCGGAACGUACCUUUCAGUGGGGGAUAACGUAGCGAAAGUUACGCUAAUACCGCAUAUUCUGUGCGCAGGAAAGCAGGGGACCUUCGGGCCUUGCGCUGAUUGAGCGGCCGAUAUCAGAUUAGCUAGUUGGUGAGGUAAAGGCUCACCAAGGCGACGAUCUGUAGCGGGUCUGAGAGGAUGAUCCGCCGCACUGGAACUGAGACACGGUCCAGACUCCUACGGGAGGCAGCAGUGGGGAAUUUUGGACAAUGGGGGCAACCCUGAUCCAGCCAUGCCGCGUGAGUGAAGAAGGCCUUCGGGUUGUAAAGCUCUUUCGGCCGGGAAGAAAUCGUAUCAGCUAAUACCUGGUGCGGAUGACGGUACCGGCAUAAGAAGCACCGGCUAACUACGUGCCAGCAGCCGCAGUAACAC